ensembl:lncRNA
GGUGAAUGAAUAUUUUCUCGUUCCGCGUAUAUAACCGAUCAUCACAAUCACAGGUGAUGUUUUAAUAUACUGUAAGUGCGUCAUCAGGCCUUCAUGUGUUUAAGUCAAGACAACAGGUGAAGAGAAAUUCUGCCAAAAAUAACGACAUACAAAUGAUUGGCCAUAAUGAAGCAGUGGAGGAUGGAGUUCUUUACGCACAGAUGGCGUGCAGGAAUUCUGAACAAGAAUAUCCCUUCAGACAGAGGGACAGUCUGGAAUAAAAUAGCCUUUUACUGCCCUGAAAUGAUAAAAGAUCAGAUGUGAACCCCUCAGUUGGCCUUACCUUCCAUAACCUGAUAGAUUAACAUCAAGCAAAGGCAAGAAGACAAAAAACAUCCCCGUCACCUUUAGAGAGAGACCCAGACCCAGAGCUAAGUGUUCUCUCCAGGAUAAGGGGCUUAUAGUGAGAGGCCAUCUCUCAGCAUUUA